rnacentral:rRNA from 1 species
AAGGGCACCACAAGAACGCGUGGAGCAUGUGGCUUAAUUUGACUCAACGCGGGAAAUCUUACCGGGUCCGGACACACUGAGGAUUGACAGGUGGUUUACACACAUUUAUUAUUAAUGUGUGUAUAUAAAUAUGCUAGUUCUUUCAUGAUUAUGCGAUAGGUGGUGCAUGGCCGUUCUUAGUUCGUGGAGUGAUCUGUCUGCUUAAUUGCGUAUCACUAAACGUGUAAUUAUACAUAUGUAAUAUGCAGUGUCUAUAUACAUUUUUUUAAUGUAUAAUGACCUCAUAUUUACAUAUUAUACACGUUGAUAGCAACGAACGUGACCGUAACCUCUUGUUGCCUGGCUCGAAGACUCGUCUCAGUGUGUGAAUUAUUAUUCACAUCACUGUGGAGACCAGAUGCAAACUAGAGGGACCGCUGUAUUCUUUCUUAAACCAGGGGAAGGUUACGGCAAUAACAGGUCUGUGAUGCCCUUAGAUGUUCCGGGCCGCACACGUGCUACAAUGAUUAUUGCAGUGAGCAUCUCGAUCUGACAAAUUGUGUGUAUGCGUUACGUAUAUUUUAUAUAUAUGCACUGUCUAACACACAAUACUGCCUGCUUCGAAAGUUUGCGGGUAAUCAAUUAACAACAAUGAUUUCCAUUUAUAUAGCACACAUAUAUGUGAUUAUGUUAUCCACACAGUCCUUUGUGUCUGUGUCGUGCAUAACAUAAUUUUUCACAUGUGCAAUUGUCAAUUCAUGGUGGGGACAGACUAUUGUUAAUUAUUAGUCUCAGUCUUAACUAGGAAUGCCUUGUACUGGUUUAGUUCAUCAGACUACCAGGAAUACGUCCCUGCCCUUUGUACACACCGCCCGUCGCUCUUACCGAUGAACUAUACUGUGAGUAUAUUGGACUGUGUUUCUCGCGGAAAAAUACACGAACAGUGUGUUUAAAGGAAAGAGAAGUCGAACAAGGC